rnacentral:rRNA from 1 species
UACGGGGGGUGCGAGCGUUGUCCGGAAUCACUGGGCGUAAAGGGCGCGUAGGUGGUUUGAUAAGGGUGUGGUGAAAGUCCGGGGCUCAACCCCGGAUCUGCCGUGCCGACUGUCAAACUCGAGGACUGUAGAGGCAGACGGAAUUCCGGGUGUAGCGGUGGAAUGCGUAGAGAUCCGGAGGAAGACCGGUGGCGAAGGCGGUCUGCUGGGCAGUUGCUGACACUGAGGCGCGACAGCGUGGGGAGCAAACAGGG